UCAACAGAGGGAAGCGAAGCCGCGAGGCGGAGCAAACCCCAGAAAUAACGUCCCAGUUCGGACUGCAGCCUGCAACCCGGCUGCACGAAGCUGGAAUCGCUAGUAAUCGCGGAUCAGAAUGCCGCGGUGAAUACGUUCCCGGGUCUUGUACACACCGCCCGUCACACCAUGGGAGUCAGUAACGCCCGAAGCCGGUGACCCAACCAAACGGAGGGAGCCGUCGAAGGUGGGACCGAUAACUGGGGUGAAGUCGUAACAAGGUAUC
rnacentral:rRNA from 1 species